rnacentral:rRNA from 1 species
ACCACGGUGGACGUGUGCCCGUCAGAGACCCCUAAAAACUCGUUUAAUUAGUGAUGUCCGAGUGAAACGCAAUAGUUAAAACUUUCAACAACGGAUCUCUUGGUUCUGGCAUCGAUGAAGAACGCAGCGAAAUGCGAUAAGUAAUGUGAAUUGCAGAAUUCAGUGAAUCAUCGAAUCUUUGAACGCACAUUGCGCCCUCUGGUAUUCCGGGGGGCAUGCCUGUUCGAGCGUCAUUACACCCCUCAAGCACUGCUUGGUAUUGAGCGAUCGUCCUCCGGGACGCGCCCGAAAAUUAGCGGCGACGCGGUCGGUCUUCGUGCGUAGUAAAACUUCUGUUUCGCAUUGCGGCCCGGGCGUGUCCGCCGGACAACCCCUUAAUUUUUCAAUGAUUGACCUCGGAUCAGGUAGGGAUACCCGCUGAACUUAAGCAUAUCAAUA